GCAGUGGUGUUUCAGUGGUAGGAUUUUUGCCUUCCACUCGGGACACCGGGGUUCAAUUCCUAGCCAAUGCA
rnacentral:tRNA from 1 species